GCGCUCGCCGAAGGAUCGGCGCCGGGUCUCCGAAGCCUGGAUGCGGCGGUUCGAAUCCGCCCGGGCGCUCCA
rnacentral:tRNA from 1 species